CAAGACUUAGGGUGUUGUUCCCUAUGUUAAGCUUUGAAGGCUUAUAGUUUCUUUAACUUAAAGUCUU
rnacentral:tRNA from 1 species